GAUGAACGCUAGCGGCAGGCCUAAUACAUGCAAGUCGAACGGUGUCUUCGGACAUAGUGGCGCACGGGUGCGUAAUACGUAUGCAACCUACCUUACAUUGGGGGAUAGCCUUUCGAAAGGGAGAUUAAUACCGCAUAAGACAGUAGCUGGGCAUCCAGCAGCUGUUAAAGAUUUAUCGAUGUAAGCUGGGCAUGCGUCCAAUUAGCUAGUUGGUGAGGUAACGGCUCACCAAGGCAAUGAUUGGUAGGGGAACUGAGAGGUCAAUCCCCCACACUGGCACUGAGAUACGGGCCAGACUCCUACGGGAGGCAGCAGUAGGGAAUAUUGGGCAAUGGACGCAAGUCUGACCCAGCCAUGCCGCGUGCAGGAUGAAGGCGUUAUGCGUUGUAAGCUGCUUUUAUACAGGAAGAAACGACUCUUGCGAGAGGCAUUGACGGUACUGUAUGAAUAAGCACCGGCUAACUCCGUGCCAGCCGCCGCCGUAAGAC
rnacentral:rRNA from 1 species